GGAUGAACGCUGGCGGCGUGCUUAAUACAUGCAAGUCGAACGGAUGGAUGCCAGGCUCGCCUGGCUGAAGUCAGUGGCGAACGGGUGAGUAAUACGUAGGCAACCUGCCCCCAUGUGCGGAACAACGGAUGGAAACGUCCGCUAAUGCCGCAUAGGUGGCGGAGGGGCAUCCCUCCUCCAUUAAAGGCCCUCAUGGGGCCGCGCGGGGAUGGGCCUACGGUGCAUUAGCUAGUUGGCGGGAUGACAGCCCACCAAGGCGAUGAUGCAUAGCCGGCCUGAGAGGGUGGACGGCCACAUUGGGACUGAGACACGGCCCAGACUCCUACGGGAGGCAGCAGUAAGGAAUUUUCGGCAAUGGGGGAAACCCUGACCGAGCAACGCCGCGUGAGCGAUGAAGGCCUUCGGGUCGUAAAGCUCUGUUGCGAAGGAAGAACACCGCCAUCAGGAAAUGGAUGGCGGCUGACGGUACUUCGUCAGAAAGUCACGGCUUACUACGUG
rnacentral:rRNA from 1 species